ACCACCCUCCAAGCCUAAAUACUACCCAAUGACCGAUAGUGAAUAAGUACUGUGAAGGAAAGGUGAAAAGAACCCCGGGAGGGGAGUGAAAGAGAACCUGAAACCCUGUGCUUACAAGCACAUAGAGCACAUCAAAGUGUGAUAUGGUACCUUUUGUAGAAUGGUCCGGCGAGUUAUGAUAUGCAGCAAGGUUAAGGACUUAAGGUCUGGAGCCGAAGCGAGAGCAAGUCUUAAUAGGGCGUCAAGUUGUAUGUCAUAGACCCGAAACCGGGUGACCUAGCCAUGUCCAGGCUGAAGUGGAGGUAAAGCUCCAUGGAGGGCCGAACCGACCCCCGUUGAAAAGGUGGCGGAUGAGGUGUGGCUAGCGGAGAAAUUCCAAUCGAACCCGGAUAUAGCUGGUUCUCCCCGAAAUAGCUUUAGGGCUAGCGUUGUAUAUGAUUACCGGAGGUAAAGCACUGAAUUGGCUAGGGGCCGAGAGGUUACUGAACCAUAUCAAACUAAGAAUGCCGGAUAAUUUAAGUACAGCAGUCAGACUACGUGAGAUAAGUCUCGUGGUCGAAAGGGAAACAGCCCAGACCCACAGCUAAGGUCCCGAAAUACGUUUAAGUGGAGAAGGAUGUGGAGUUGCACAGACAACCAGGAUGUUGGCUUAGAAGCAGCCACUCAUUAAAAGAGUGCGUAAUAGCUCACUGGUCGAGUGACUCUGCGCCGAAAAUUCAACGGGGCUAAAACGUAUACCGAAGCUUGGGCUUGUACAGCAAUGUACAGGGGUAGGGGAGCGUUGUGUAAGAGGAGAAGUCAUAGCGGAAGCGGUGGUGGAUUUUACACAAGUGAGAAUGCCGGAAUGAGUAGCGAGAAUUAUGUGAGAAUCAUAAUGGCCGAAAGUCUAAGGUUUUAGAAGGAAGGUUCGUCCGCUUCUAGUAAGCCGGGAGCUAAGGUGAGGCCGAAAGGCGUAACCGAUGCACAUACGGUAGAAAUUCCGUAGCCUCCAUAGAUUUAAGCACAGGGACACUUUUGAAGGGUUUAGCCGGGCGAUGGUUGCCCCGGUCGUAAGGGACUGCGAAUGAGCGGGAAGUAAACUUGGAAGAAGGCGAGAAAAGCUGUGUGUAUAGAAGAUGGAGCCCGUACCGCAAACCGACACAGGUAGACAGGAAGAAGAUUCUAAGGCCAACGGGAGAAGGGUUGUUAAGGAACUCGGCAAGUUGACCCCGUAACUUAGGGAGAAGGGGUGCUCUUUAAUAGAGCCGCAGAGAAUAGGCCCAAGCGACUGUUUAGCAAAAACACAGCUCUAUGCUAAAUCGAAAGAUGACGUAUAUGGGGUGACACCUGCCCGGUGCCGGAAGGUUAAGAGGAGGAGUGAGAGCUCUGAAUUGAAGCCCCGGUAAACGGCGGCCGUAACUAUAACGGUCCUAAGGUAGCGAAAUUCCUUGUCAGGUAAGUUCUGACCCGCACGAAUGGUGUAACGAUUUGGGCACUGUCUCAACAACCCGCCCGGCGAAAUUGUAGUACCGGUGAAGAUGCCGGUUACCCGCGACUAGACGGAAAGACCCCAUGGAGCUUCACUGUAGCUUAA
rnacentral:rRNA from 1 species